CUGCUGCCUUCCGUAGGAGUUUGGACCGUGUCUCAGUUCCAAUGUGGGGGACCUUCCUCUCAGAACCCCUACGCAUCGUCGGCUUGGUGGGCCGUUGCCCCACCAACUACCUAAUGCGCCGCAUGCCCAUCCGUGACCGGGGUCGCCCCCUUUGGCCGGCAGGGGAUGUCCCCUCCCGGCAUUAUGUNUAUAGU
rnacentral:rRNA from 1 species